AUUGAACGCUGGCGGCAUGCUUUACACAUGCAAGUCGAACGGUAACAGGUUAAGCUGACGAGUGGCGAACGGGCGAGUAAUGCAUCGGAACGUGCCCGAUCGUGGGGGUUAACGCAGCGAAAGCUGCGCUAAUACCGCAUACGAUCUGAGGAUGAAAGCGGGGGACCGUAAGGCCUCGCGCGAUCGGAGCGGCCGGUGUCAGAUUAGGUAGGUGGUGGGGUAAAGGCCCACCAAGCCGACGAUCUGUAGCUGGUCUGAGAGGACGACCGGCCACACUGGGACUGAGACACGGCGCAGACUCCUACGGGAGGCAGCAGUGGGGAAUUUUGGACGAUGGGCGAAAGCCUGAUCCAGCCAUUCCGCGUGCAGGAGGAAGGCCCUCGGGUUGUAAACUGCUUUUGUACAGAACGAAAAGGUGUCUACUAAUACUAGGAGCUCCUGACGGUACUGUAAGAAUAAGCACCGGCUAACUACGUGCCAGCCGCCGCCGUAA
rnacentral:rRNA from 1 species